rnacentral:rRNA from 1 species
GAUUUAUAAUAACUUACCAAAUCGCAAAGUGAAAACAGGCGAUAAAUCAUUCAAGUUUCUGACCUAUCAGCUUUCGACGGUAUGGUAUUGGCUUACCGUGGCAGUGACGGUUAACGGGGGAUUAGGGUUCGAUUCCGGAGAGGGAGCCUGAGAAACGGCUACCACAUCUAAGGAAGGCAGCAGGCGCGCAAAUUACCCAAUUCUAACAGUUUGAGAGAGGUAGUAACAAGAAAUAACAAUACAAGGCAGUUAAAAUGCUUUGUAAUUGGAAUGAUAGAAAUUUAAACCCUUUUUAAAGUAUCAAUUGGAGGGCAAGUCUGGUGCCAGCAGCCGCGGUAAUUCCAGCUCCAAUAGCGUAUAUUAAAAUUGUUGCAGUUAAAAAGCUCGUAGUUGAAGUUCUGCUGAAAGUAACCGGUCUGCUUUUAAUAAAAGUGGUAUCUUGGUAUGUAUUUAGCAAUGAUGUCCUUUGAAGUGUUUUUUACUUUAUUGUAAUAAAGCAUAUUCAGGACUUUUACUUUGAAAAAAUUAGAGUGUUUCUAGCAGGCUAACGCUUUGAAUACUGCAGCAUGGAAUAAUAAG